AUGAGCCAACUGCUUUGGCUCCAAGCCCGAGAAACACCCUGCUUCAAGAAUAAAAUUGCACCUCUCAUGCCAACAGUUCAGAUUCUGGUCCCACGAUCAUCGUUGAGAAGGCAACUGGCCACAUGAGCACCUACCUGGCCACACUGAAGCUUAGGAACAGACAUCUAACCCUAAUUUCUUCUCCCUGGAACUAGAAAUGGGGACCCAGGGAGUUUACUAAUUGCUUGAAUUUGAAUGGUUUAGAAUACCAAUUCUCAAAAUGUGGUCUGUUGGAGUUCCUGCCAUGGCGCAGU
rnacentral:lncRNA from 1 species